UUGCACGCAAAAGGAAGAGAGGGAACGUCCCUUGAGUGUGCUUGUGGAGUGUGACAGAGCACGCACAUAGAAAUCAGCUAGUGGUGUUAGACUAAAGUUGUGGAGAAGAAAUCUGUCUGGUCUCUGCACCACUCAUGCAGUUAUUCCUAAAUUUUAAAAGAAUUAUGGUAUUUGAUGUGUCACCAUUGUCCUGGAGAUUGUUGUAUUAAAUUCCUGUGGAUUUUGUUCCUCUGUGUUUCGAGGAUGGGGUUUUGUGAUGAGGGCUAAUUCUGUUGGUGAGGGAGGGUGUCAUAUUAGCGCUUAGGUUACGUCAGGGCUUUUCAAAUCUCGAGUGUCAUUUUUUCUGUAGUUUUUUUGUCUCCUCUGGUUAGGUUUUAAUUCAACUACAUAGAAUUUAUGAUGUAAAUGUGCAUUUGUUAGGUAAAUUUAUGGCAAGUGUAGGACACUUGGCCUCCGCAGAAAG
rnacentral:misc_RNA from 1 species